rnacentral:rRNA from 1 species
UACGUAGGGGGCUAGCGUUGUCCGGAUUUAUUGGGCGUAAAGAGCGUGUAGGCGGCCAGGUAGGUCUGCUGUGAAAACUCGAGGCUCAACCUCGAGACGUCGGCGGAAACCAUCUGGCUAGAGUCCGGAAGAGGAGAGUGGAAUUCCUGGUGUAGCGGUGAAAUGCGCAGAUAUCAGGAAGAACACCCGUGGCGAAGGCGGCUCGCUGGGACGUCACUGACGCUGAGACGCGAAAGCGUGGGGAGCGAACAGG